UGUAUAUACGUAUUAGUAAUGAAGCUCGUGCAUGAAGGGGUCAAUAAAAUGGGUGUAGCCUAUAUUCUCACCGGAAAAAUAGAAUUUGGAUCACUAUAAGAAUGGGAUUUGUGCCAUUUGUACCAGCAACACAGAAAGUUUUCUGUUGAGAAUGGAAUUUGGCAGUAAUCAGUGGGUCGGGUGACAAAAUUCAGACAAAAUUUUGGCCGAGAAAAUGGUUGAGCACCCGCUCUGACUUCAUAUGUCGCUCGAUAAGUUUAC